rnacentral:rRNA from 1 species
GUGAUUCAUGACUGGGGUGAAGUCGUAACAAGGUAACCGUAGGGGAACCUGCGGUUGGAUCACCUCCUUACCUUAAAGAACCUGNUGUCCGAAUGGGGAAACCCAGUGCAAUUCGUUGCACUAUCGUUAACUGAAUACAUAGGUUAACGAGGCGAACCGGGGGAACUGAAACAUCUAAGUACCCCGAGGAAAAGAAAUCAACCGAGAUUCCCCCAGUAGCGGCGAGCGAACGGGGAGCAGCCCAGAGUCUGAAUCAGCUUGUGUGUUAGUGGAACGGUCUGGAAAGUCCGACGGUACAGGGUGAUAGUCCCGUACACCAAAAUGCACAGGUUGUGAACUCGAAGAGUAGGGCGGGACACGUGGUAUCCUGUCUGAAUAUGGGGGGACCAUCCUCCAAGGCUAAAUACUCCUGACUGACCGAUAGUGAACCAGUACCGUGAGGGAAAGGCGAAAAGAACCCCGGCGAGGGGAGUGAAAAAGAACCUGAAACCGUGUACGUACAAGCAGUGGGAGCACCUUCGGGUGUGACUGCGUACCUUUUGUAUAAUGGGUCAGCGACUUAUAUUCUGUAGCAAGGUUAACCGUAUAGGGGAGCCGCAGGGAAACCGAGUCUUAACUGGGCGUUAAGUUGCAGGGUAUAGACCCGAAACCCGGUGAUCUAGCCAUGGGCAGGUUGAAGGUUGGGUAACACUAACUGGAGGACCGAACCGACUAAUGUUGAAAAAUUAGCGGAUGACUUGUGGCUGGGGGUGAAAGGCCAAUCAAACCGGGAGAUAGCUGGUUCUCCCCGAAAGCUAUUUAGGUAGCGCCUCGUGAACUCAUCUUCGGGGGUAGAGCACUGUUUCGGCUAGGGGGUCAUCCCGACUUACCAACCCGAUGCAAACUACGAAUACCGAAGAAUGUUAUCACGGGAGACACACGGCGGGUGCUAACGUCCGUCGUGAAGAGGGAAACAACCCAGACCGCCAGCUAAGGUCCCAAAGUCAUGGUUAAGUGGGAAACGAUGUGGGAAGGCACAGACAGCCAGGAUGUUGGCUUAGAAGCAGCCAUCAUUUAAAGAAAGCGUAAUAGCUCACUGGUCGAGUCGGCCUGCGCGGAAGAUGUAACGGGGCUAAACCAUGCACCGAAGCUGCGGCAGCGACACUAUGUGUUGUUGGGUAGGGGAGCGUUCUGUAAGCCUGCGAAGGUGUGCUGUGAGGCAUGCUGGAGGUAUCAGAAGUGCGAAUGCUGACAUAAGUAACGAUAAAGCGGGUGAAAAGCCCGCUCGCCGGAAGACCAAGGGUUCCUGUCCAACGUUAAUCGGGGCAGGGUGAGUCGACCCCUAAGGCGAGGCCGAAAGGCGUAGUCGAUGGGAAACAGGUUAAUAUUCCUGUACUUGGUGUUACUGCGAAGGGGGGACGGAGAAGGCUAUGUUAGCCGGGCGACGGUUGUCCCGGUUUAAGCAUGUAGGCUGAUUGUCCAGGCAAAUCCGGAUAAUCAAGGCUGAGGUGUGAUGACGAGGCACUACGGUGCUGAAGUAACAAAUGCCCUGCUUCCAGGAAAAGCCUCUAAGCAUCAGGUAACAUUAAAUCGUACCCCAAACCGACACAGGUGGUCAGGUAGAGAAUACCAAGGCGCUUGAGAGAACUCGGGUGAAGGAACUAGGCAAAAUGGUGCCGUAACUUCGGGAGAAGGCACGCUGGUGUGUAGGUGAAGUCCCUGCGGAUGGAGCUGAGACCAGUCGAAGAUACCAGCUGGCUGCAACUGUUUAUUAAAAACACAGCACUGUGCAAACACGAAAGUGGACGUAUACGGUGUGACGCCUGCCCGGUGCCGGAAGGUUAAUUGAUGGGGUUAUCCGUAAGGAGAAGCUCUUGAUCGAAGCCCCGGUAAACGGCGGCCGUAACUAUAACGGUCCUAAGGUAGCGAAAUUCCUUGUCGGGUAAGUUCCGACCUGCACGAAUGGCGUAAUGAUGGCCAGGCUGUCUCCACCCGAGACUCAGUGAAAUUGAACUCGCUGUGAAGAUGCAGUGUACCCGCGGCAAGACGGAAAGACCCCGUGAACCUUUACUAUAGCUUGACACUGAACAUUGAGCCUUGAUGUGUAGGAUAGGUGGGAGGCUUUGAAGCGUGGACGCCAGUCUGCGUGGAGCCAACCUUGAAAUACCACCCUUUAAUGUUUGAUGUUCUAACGUUGGCCCCUUACCGGGGUUGCGGACAGUGUCUGGUGGGUAGUUUGACUGGGGCGGUCUCCUCCCAAAGCGUAACGGAGGAGCACGAAGGUUAGCUAAUCCUGGUCGGACAUCAGGAGGUUAGUGCAAUGGCAUAAGCUAGCUUGACUGCGAGCGUGACGGCGCGAGCAGGUGCGAAAGCAGGUCAUAGUGAUCCGGUGGUUCUGAAUGGAAGGGCCAUCGCUCAACGGAUAAAAGGUACUCCGGGGAUAACAGGCUGAUACCGCCCAAGAGUUCAUAUCGACGGCGGUGUUUGGCACCUCGAUGUCGGCUCAUCACAUCCUGGGGCUGAAGUAGGUCCCAAGGGUAUGGCUGUUCGCCAUUUAAAGUGGUACGCGAGCUGGGUUUAGAACGUCGUGAGACAGUUCGGUCCCUAUCUGCCGUGGGCGCUGGAGAAUUGAGGGGGGCUGCUCCUAGUACGAGAGGACCGGAGUGGACGCAUCACUGGUGUUCGGGUUGUCAUGCCAAUGGCACUGCCCGGUAGCUAAAUGCGGAAGAGAUAAGUGCUGAAAGCAUCUAAGCACGAAACUUGCCCCGAGAUGAGUUCUCCCUGAGACUUUAAGUCUCCUGAAGGAACGUUGAAGACGACGACGUUGAUAGGCCGGGUGUGUAAGCGCAGCGAUGCGUUGAGCUAACCGGUACUAAUGAACCGUGAGGCUUAACCUU